rnacentral:pre_miRNA from 1 species
GGGAGUGCUUCGUGCUUCUGGUUGAAGAGAAAAUGACCAUAGCACAGAAGCACUCCCA